rfam:Clostridium sp. W14A NODE_33, whole genome shotgun sequence.
CGCGGAGUGGAGCAGUCCGGUAGCUCGUUGGGCUCAUAACCCAAAGGUCGUAGGUUCAAAUCCUGCCUCCGCAA